rnacentral:rRNA from 1 species
UGGAGCCUUACGUUCGGACCCACCGNGGAACUUGGGGCUAAACCGGUAACCCGGA